AAGAGUGAAAAGAAAUUCUCGUUCUUUUCCUAUACUGCUUCCUGGUGAUCUGUAACAUCAUGCUGCCAAAAAAAAAAAUUCUAAUGUUUCAGAACAAGCCAUUGACAAGUUACAGAUUCUCAGGAAUUCUCUGUUCCCUCCACCCCACAACAGAGGGAAAAUAAGGAAUCCCAAAGAGUGAGAAAGAUUCUCCCACUCACCCUCUCCCAGAAUCUACUUUAUACUGAGUGUGAAGUGUUUCCUAAAAUGUGGGGUGGAGAGUAGAGGAGGUGGGGGUGGACAGAGAUGUCAGCAAUUUGCCUUUAACUGUGCUUUGUCCCAAGUGUGUAUCAAGGUCCUGCAAUUCCCUGCUUAAAUGAUGUGCUAUACCUUUAAGCCAGAUCCUCUGGAAAAGACUUAUUUCUAGGACUGUCAGGCAAAAUGUAAAUUAACUUUAGAACCAAGCUUGUUUGUUAUUGUGAACAUCUUUUCCUCUUCUGACUUAGAAAAUUUUGUGGCAUUGUGCCAUUUUUCUAAAGACUAUUUCAACUGAAAAGUCCUUGCCUCAUAUCAUUCAGCCCUUCCUGUUGGUAUUCCUUGAUGCUCUUUUAUCAUAUUAUAAAGUUCCUGCUCCAAACGAGAGAGAAACAUGAAAAGACAGAGAUGGAGACAGAGAUAGAGAAACACAUAGAGACACACAGGAAUGCAGAAGGACACAUAAAGAAGCAAAGAGAGAUGGGAAAGGGGCAGAGAGGGGGAGAGAGAGAGAGAGGAAGCCAAUAUUUUAUGGAGAAACCAUUUUCUUCUGUCCGUAGGGGAGGCAAGCUGUAGAUGCCAAACAUAAUAUGAAAAAGUAGGUAUUUCUCAGUGUUUCAAGAAGCAUUAUCGAAAUCAGGCUCUAUUUACAGGAUGCAGAAGGCUCAGCUCAGAGUUCUAAAACAGUUGGCUGGCUAGGGUCAUUUAUGAUCAUUAGAGCAUUAACUUACUGCUGGUUUACUAAAAUAAAUGUAAAUAUUCUACAUGUGUUCCAGAGUAUAAAAUGGAAAAUGAAUACUCUAAGAAAGUCCUGAGAAAAUGAAAUGGAAAAUGAAUACUCUGGGAAAGUCCUGAGAAAACCAAAAGAAUUGUUCUCCUAUUCUAUCGAGAACCUAUUUCCAUUUUUAAAGGAUCUCAAUGAAGCAUGAUUAAUUUCAAGGGGAAAAAAAUAAUCAUUGGGCCAAUCAAAAAUGUCCUUCUAGAUACAGGAAGGUAUCACUUCAAUUCUGCCUCUACAUGGGAGGAAGGGAGAUUUUCCUCUUCUCCUUUGCCCUCAAUUCCUCACCAUGCCUCUGCCUCCUUCCGAAAUCUAACUAGAAGAGAGAUGGCCACUACUUGCCAAGGGCCAGAAGGAGUUUUCUUAGCUAUCCCUGCCUCCUUCCCCUCUCUCUUUCUUCUUGCCUCCAGAUUUUCAGAGUCCAACCACUCAUACACAGAGGUUUCUUUCUCUCCCUCUUCCUCAUGUCCUACACACAAUAGUAGUACAGGUGUUGUUAAACAUUCUUAGUUACCCUUAGUUUAUGUCCAACUCUGGGAGAAUCAAGGCUGAACAUUAUUGAGAGAAUAAAUACUUAGCCUUCAAACAGUCAUUUUAUUCAUGUGCUUUAAAAUGGCCAUAACCUAUUAAAUUGCUUAAAUGACAGAAGGAGGUGGGAGAGAAAAAAAAAAGGAAAAUGCUGUGGGCUAACCAUGUCCCACAUGAUAGACAAUUAACUAUUCAAGUUUCCCAAACAUUGAAGUAGAUUCUCUCAGGUUAGAUGUACGAUAGAAGCGAUCUCUCACAUCAUUGCUGUUAGUGCACAUUCAUUCCUUUGCAUUCGUAUUACUUUGACCAUAAUAUUACACAUGAUGUGCAUUACACUUACCAGCUUUAGGAGGUGGAUACUCAGGUAAAAACAUAUGUAGGGCUGGAACUACCUGGGAGAGCUUUGCCUCCAUUCUCUUUUGCCACAUAGGAACAGGAGACUAGCUGGUCAUGUGGCUGGUGGAAUGAGGCAAAAUAUAGUUCCAACCUUUCUAGUGCUUUACCCUGGGAAAUAAGAGAAAGAAAUAUGUCAUGUGCAAAAUAACACUGGUUCAUGGGUCCAAGAGUGGGAUUUUCUUAAAUGAACAUCAUGUAUGAUACUUGGAAAUAUUCUCAAUUAUAUUCCAUCUUUCGGAAGUCGGUGUCUAUUUUAUAACAUCGAUUUGAGAAGCUUAACGACAACUUGCCAAAUGAAGAAAUAUAUUUCUAUUGCCAGACAGAAAGAAUCUCCAAGAUAUCUUAUAAUGAUGUCUAUUCCUUAGCAUCUUACCAAAGGGUGAUAUUCCACUGUCUUUUCUAAACCAAGUAUAAUCAAAACAAAAAAAAAGCAUUUGUUUUUGGUCACUUUGGUUCAGUGUGGUGAUAGGAAUGAUGGGAUAAAAUGUCUCAAGAAAAAUCACGCCAAGAUAAAAGUCUAAGCGGAGUGUGGAAUAAUACCUUAGCAGCCUCUAGCAAGGCAGAUGUAAAUGCUCAUGUAUAUUCUGUAUAUAGUUCAUUGAAAUGUUGUGUCAUCUUCUGUUGUGUGUGGUUGACCAUGGCUUUGAAUGGAUGCUUAAAAAUCCCGACACCUGUAAAUAACGUUCACAUGUUCUGACGGCUGCUUUCAGUGCUAGCCCGCUUUGUCACCAUUCGGGCCCAAACCAGAAUCUUUCAGCUCUUGUUCAUUCUCAGCCAUUUUCUGGUGCAGUUCUGUGACCCUGCUGCAAGUCAUCGCAAGGUCCAUUUGUUCAGUGCCUCCUCCCUCCCCCUCUCCCGCCAGCUGGGGCAGUGGCUGUUGAGUGUGUCUAAUGGAGAUGGGGGAAUCAGCAACACCAGCAGAACCUGCUAGGCCUGCCAGCCGCUGCUGCUGCUGCCUCAUAGGAAGUGGAGGGCAAAACCCCGGAGAGUUUCUUUUAUGGCUAUUUGUUUAUCCAGAUCUCAAUUAUCAGUGCUCACUAAAGGGGGUCAGGGAUAGAAAGAAAAAACUGAAAUUGACAAAUACUCCAAAGCCUAGUUUUUGCCAAAUCUUUGGGUUUCUAUUGUUCUCAUCACCUAAUUUCCAUUUUUUUCACCCAAUUUACUAAUGAAGACCAGCUUUUAGUUUUCUAAAAUGUUUUGGUUUUCCUUCCUAUUUUUACAAAAGUUUCACUACGAUGGAUAAUAAAAGGUUAAAUGAUCAAAAAGAGGAAAAAGGGGAUGAGAAACUAAGGACAUGAAACCCCAAAGGAAUCCACAAACAGAUAAUCCAUUUGUGAGAAAAUGUGGAUAACAGGUUAUCUGUGGUCCUAUAAUUAAUCAUUUGAGGCCAUCCAAGCCCCAUUGGAGACACCUGUUCCAGAGAAAUGCACUAUUUGAAUGUAUCAUGGAAAAAGCAAUGGAUUUGGAGAUAGAAGACGAGUUCAAAUCUAGAGUUUACUGUGGAUUAAUGGGUAACCCAGUGAAAGACUUCCCCAAAUGGGAAUCAGUUUUCUUUUCUGUAAAAUAAAGGGGUUGGAUGAUAUCCUAAGAUUCUACCCAGUUCUCAUAUCCAAUUACAUCUCUGUCAUCACAAGUUUUUUGGCAUGAAAAGGAAAGAUUUAGAGGAACACAAAUUGACUCAACCUUGAUGAGAACAUAUAACAGGAACUUAGCUUGACUGAUAGCUGUCAAUUCUCAACCAGUGUAUACUAUUUAGAAGCAUAGAUUUUUCUAGGUAUUCAAAAAUUAAAAUUCAAUACCAAAAUCAUCAUGGGCUAUGAAAAAGCUAAGACUCAGAGUUAGGUUGGUUUUUUCCCUUCUUCAGUUUCCCAAUCCAAAGAUUUUUCACAUCCAAAGAAGGAACUUGUGGCUGUUCCUGGUCUACCUGCUCUACCCCAACAGAUAUUUAUCCUCAUCCUAGAAUAAUAAAAGCUAAUGAGACGAUUGAAUUUGCAGUCCGGUUUAGCAGGACAAUUUUACUCACAGACAACUCUGCCUGCCUUCCCUGCCAUAACAACAAUCAAAAUGGAGCAUCCAAAUAACAGUAUAUUUGUCUCAGGUAGACAUGGUCACAAGAUCAAACUAUCACUGACAGAAAGCUGGAGUACCCAUGGCCAUCAAGAGGUAACACCCCCCUCUUGUAUGAGGAGUAUAUAAGCAGGAACAUUUCAUAAUAAUAGCCCACUUCUCAUUCCCAUGCUAAGAAAGCAGUAAAGGAAGGAGGGAGGCAUAUUUUCAGGCAUGGCUAUUUUCUGAAUGCCAGUUAUUGAAAUUUCAAAUUAUAUAUGCACAUUUAAUCUGCUUGGCUUCUACACAGCAUUUCCUUUCUCAGAUCAUCCUCCCUGUGCCAGUUCCUUGUCUGGAAUUUGUUUCAUUUUGCCUCAGGUAACAUGAUUGAAAAGACUUCUUUUCUAAGAGGAUUUUUUUUUCUUUCUUUUUCAUUCCCAACUUUCACAACUCAUCUUGAAAACUCAGCCCAUAAGCAUCUCUACUUCCUCAGUCUUGGAUAUCUCCUUGGAUGUCAUAGUCUUCACUCACAAAAAUGGCUUUGAAAAAACUAUCCUCAGAUUCCUGCCUCAGUUGCCUUAUUCUCUAAGUAGCUACUUUUCAGACCUUUGGGGGUGGCAUGCAGGACUACAUUAGUCAUCACCACUGCCAUUCUUCUCUACAUUAUUUCUGUGUAUUUCUACAUAUGUGAGGAGUGCCCACCUCCCGGAAUAGCCGAGUGUGUUAAGAAACCUCCUAUUUUAGUCCCGUUCCCAACUGAGUGAGAAUAGCCUUGCUUACCCUCAACUAAUUCCAAAGGAAUUAAACCAGACCGUGAAAUCACCACACAAAGUUCUCCCCUCUCUCUAACUCUAUAAUUCUCUCUAAACCUCACCUUGAAUCUGCAAUUUCAUAUAUGUAAAUAGUACUGUGAAAUAACCCCGUAUCUAUCCAUGGCUUAAUUAUGACUAAUUUUAGUCUGAUUAAUUUACUCCUCUCUCUUUUAAUCCUUCAAGAAUGGUACACCUUCCUGUCACUAAAUUCUUUAAUCUUUUCCCAUUAGACCACCAGGCAUAAUACUAAUUUUAAUCUUGUCCUUUACAGAUACGAGACCUAUGUUCUACCCCAUGUCGUUCUCUCCCCAAUCCUCUUACCAAGUCACGAAUAAAUAUGAGUAACACGUUUAUAAAAAGUUAAAUAACUCCACAACUUUAAAUGGGAGGUCAUAUUUGAAGGAAAAGCACUGGAGCAGGAAUUAAGAAAACUGCAACCUGCUUCAAGAUCUGCCACUAAAUAUAUGUUUUAUCUAGAUUCAAACCCAAUGGUUUAUGGGUCUCAAGCUCCUCAUGUAUGAGUUGAAGGAAUGGCAAAAGAUGAUCUCCAGUUCUAAAAAUUCUAUAAUUUGAUAAAGUCUCUAAGUCCUUGAUAGCGAUACAGGAAGAGAAAUAAUAUGGUAUACUGGAAAGGACUCCAAAGAUCUGUGUUUGAAUCUUGGCCUUAACUGAGAGUCCUUGGGAGCAAAUUCUUCAGUUUUUCUAGGUUUAUUUUGUUUGCUUACCUGGAAAAUAGGGAGGUGGGAGCCAAAUCAUGGACUUUCAGAAUUAGUAGGUUAAAGAAAACUGGAUCCAAACUCUUAUUCUUUUUCAGAUGAAGAAACCUAGGUUUUGAGAAAUUAAAUGAUUUACCCAAAGUCACACAGCUAAUAAAUAUGUUGGACCAGGUGUUCAGAUUCUAAAUCCAAUGGGAUUUCCAUUACAACCCAACACCCAACAUCUGAACAAUUUCAUAAUUUGUUGACAUUUCUAUUUUUUUCAAGCCUCAAUAUUUUUCUUUCCAUGUACCAUAAUUUUAUCAAAUAUAGAAGUUUAUUAGUUCUCUGUUUAUACUAUUCUGACCUAAAAUUUCUUUAUACCUUUUCCUGACCCUUUGACCACUCAUCUUAAUAAAUUUAGCUCAUUUCAACAGGGAUUUCUUAAAGUACCCAAUGUGUGCAAGGUACUAGGUAAAGUCCUAGGAAUCCAAAUUUAGGAGUGGGGAGGGAGGGGAAUGACAGUCCUUAUUCUUCAAGGAACAUACCUCCUUCCAAACAGAGUCUAUAAAUUGGCAACUGAUUGGAUAUGGUUUUAGAAGCUAUGAAUUUAGAUGAUUGGUUUCCUAUUCAACAAAAAUAGGGUCCUUGGAGGAGAGACAAGUAAAGAGGUUAGACUUAGAAAUGGGAAGAGCUAUUUCUUCCUCUGAAAUUAAAGCCAAGAAUAGGAUAGUGAAAAUAGGCAUUGAGGUGUGAUAUAGGGAAAAUGAAAGUUCAUGAGAAAUAGCCUUAAUUUUCUCAGAGCAUAAAGUGAUAUCCUCCUGGGGUGCUAAGGGAAGAACAGGGGCCACAAGUUGGAAAUAGUUACUUCUGAGUGUGUGAUAAAGAAACAGUGGGGAAGAAUAAAAACAUUGCAAUUUGGCAAUGAUUCAGUUUAAACUCUGUAAGAGAUCUUAUGAUUCAGGCUGGAAGAGAUUUCAGAUAAAAGACCUGUCUUCUAAUUAACUGUAUCCUACAGAGUAAUGGUCUAUAAAUGUUGACUCCUGUUGCAUAAAUGGGUAUUAGCCAUCCCAGAAUAUACUGACAAUAGUUUUUUUGAAGGACGAAAAGAAAGGAAAGGUAAACAUUGGAUAUCGCCGUUUGUUGGAAAAUCAGAGGUUGCUUUCUAAAUAAUUGCCAUGGAUGGAUAUAUGCAAAGAAAUGGCCAGACUGCCUUGUUGAGGCCCCUAACAGCUGAUAUCUCAGACACCACAUGCCCUCCUAGAUGAAUUUUAUUCUAUUUUUUUCCUCCCUGGCCAAUGUUUUUUUGUUUUUUUGGUCAACCAGAUCCCGUCUUCAUAGAUUACCUGCUCAAAAAAGUUGUGAUUGAACUAUGAGUAAUUUAUGGCAUAAAGUGACCCCAAUCCAAAUCCUAAGGAGAUCACAUCAGGGGACAUCUGCUAACUAUGAUGGUAUUCAAGGAAUAAUUAUAUGACCUGAAAACUAUCCAAGAGGUCAUUUGGUCCUUGCUACAACCUACCACUUCUUAGACUUCAUCUAGAAGUUUUAUGAUAAAAAUUCUUUUUCAUGUAUCUCUUUUAUUAUUAAUCUUCCUGUUUUCUUGUCACAUAAAUUACUUAUUCAUAUUUUAAAAUAAUCAUUGGACCCUUUAAUGAUUUUCCCUUAGUUUGACAGUCAGAUUUUAAUUAUUUCUGUUAUUUCCACUUACAAUCCUUCUAGGUACAAUAUAUGCCCUCUUUUCCAAUAUCCUAAUCAAAUCAACUCAUUUUAACUUGCUUCUUGCAUCUGGAGGCAGCUGGAAUCAUCUAUGAAUAUACUGCAGCAAUAUCCUUAAAGCCCUCCCAAUAAGUCCCUUUGUUCAUUUUCUCUAAGCUCAUUGGAGAAUAGAAUUACAUAUGUGUGAUUGUUCAGAUUUGGAAACUUUAGUAUUCAUUCAAUUCAGUGAGAUUACCCCAGUAUUCUCAGUCACACAUGCACACAUAAACAUACAUUUACUGUAAUUAUAUGUUGCAUAAUUUGUUCUUUUAUAGAGAAUUCAUAUUAUUUACAAACAACCCAACUGCUAGAAACCACCAUGUGACAAUUACAAAAAUAAAGUGUCAUUUUAUAUGUCCAAAUAUCAAAUUUUUAAAGUCACAAUUUUCUGAACUUUUUUGUAAUAAAUGAAACACGUUCUCCUCCUUUGCUUUUGGAUGACUAGGGAGCAUUUGGAGGUGCCCUGAUGGAAGGCUAAAAACCAAUGUGAAGCCAAAUAUUGUGUUUUAGGGCUCAGUGGCAAAGUGAAAUAGCAAGUUUAGGCAAUGAUUUUUUUCCCAUUUAAAGAAAAAACAAAAACCCUAUUGUUGUGAGGGAUAAGAAACGUGUGGGAGUAAAGAUGGACUGAAAAUUUCUAUUGCAGUUAUCCAUAUUGAACUCACUGAGAUUUACUUUUUCCCUUGACUCUGCUCAGAUGCAACAACCUGAUGCAAUGGGUCUUUAUAAAGGACUCUAUGAAUUAUGAAGGCAGGGUUAAUCUGUUUUCUUAACUAACAAACUAGAUAUCAGAACACCUUUUAUAGUCUCAUCUAAUAGCAGGUAAAGUAUCUCUGGAGAUUCAUCUAACAACUACAAGUAAAGGAAAUUUCUUAUACUAGCCCCCCUGUGAAGACUAUGGUACUUCACUAACACGUGUCCUGUUAUAAAGAACUGGGUUUUUCUAAAGCACAGGCCACCCUUUUUGAACAAAGAUAGAUCCACUGAAGCCUCUUAGGCACAGUCAUAACUUGGGAUCCUUAUGCAAGGGGCAAGCAUCACACAAUGCACAAAGAUGAAUUCAAGUGAAGUAAGGGCACAUGGUGGAAAUGGGAAGAGACUCUAGACCAGGUCCUUUGGAGGAGGAAGAGAAAGAGCGCCCCAAGUCCAGUUGGGUCUACCUUCCAAAAGAGUACCAGUGCUUUGAGCACCUCCCAAAUUCUAGUAUCCUAGAGCAAAGCCCCCAAUUACUCCUUGUUAUGGCUCUGUUCUUACAAAACAUUCCAUUUCUGCUAAAACUCGCCAAAUAUUUCUAGAAUGUUAGAUAUUCUGAUUUCUUGUCGUGUUUUAAAAAUCUCCAACUAAUCAAUUUGCUGAACAAUUUAAAGUACCCUCUCAGUAGUCAAAUCCAUUCCUAAAGAGCUAAUUCUUAAUCAUGAAUUUUAAUAUACCACACACUCUAUUAGAAGAUUGAUAACAUGAUUGGUAGUACAUGGCUCUUGUAAAUAAAAUACUCCUUUUAUCUGUUUCUUUUUUCAGCAGGAAGAACCUAUUUGUUUAAUUACAGACACAUAAAUUGCAAUAUUUUACAAAUGCUCUUUUGACAUACACAUUUGCUUUGUUACAAAAGCAAGAUUGUUGCAGUGAUACUUUUUAUACACCAGUCAUACUGCAAAACUAAAUGGUAAAAAUAAGACAAAAUGAGUAUUUCUGAAAACAUGGGUAAAUUUUUAUGAAAUGGAACUGGUUGAACAAAUGCCAAGGAUGGGCAGGUCGACUACUUAAUUUUAUAAUUCAAUUUUUCUAUUUUGUAUUGGUAUAUGCUGCAUUUUCUGAUUCCAACUGCUGUCCUGUCCAAUGAAAUUUGUGAAUCUCUGUAGAUGCUUUUUACACAUGAAAUCAGACUUUCAUACAGUGCGUACUUUAUUGUACCCUUUUGUUAGGAAUUUCGUUAAGACAGUCGAACAGUUAGUCAUUCCUUCUUACGUGCUUAAAGGUCUGUAUAUCUUUUGAUUCCUUCAUCGUCUCCAAGGCUCUCUGUGCAUAAUAUCCAUGAAAACCUAUAGACUGUGAUUUAUACAAUUAUUCUAAGAUGUAGGUUUCCCUCAAGUGCAGUGAAUCAAAGAACCAGAAACUGUUAAAUGGCCUCUGAUUCUUGGCCCCCUUUGGUCCUUAAAACCUUUUUCUAUUCUUUGUCAUUCAUACAACUUUGUGUCUUUUUCAAAUUACAAUCAACCUGACAUAUAAUCAGGUAUGGACACAAGAAGUGCUUGUACGAUUGACUUGAGGACAUAGAGCUAUUUUAGCAGUCACAGAACUGUAGUUUGGUCAAUAUUUCCUUCCCUUGUCUUGUGGCUUUGACCUCCUGUAAGCUGUUUCCUUUGCUUUCCUAUCACAAGGUGUUAUAUGCUGCAGUAACUGAUUGAAUGGAAAACUUCUGAAGACCAGUGUCAAAACCAUCAGCAGUAUUUCCCAAACCCUUUGUGCAGCUUCAGAAAUGUAGAAUUUGCUGUAAAUAUGUACACUUCAUGUUAGCUUGUUUAUCCUAAGAACACAAAUAAAACAUUGUUUUUUUAUUUUUUAAAAAAAUGCUUACAUUUGAAAAGCUUACUUUGUACUGCGGUUGAAAACAUGCAAGCUUUCAGGAAUCUUUUUAUAGUCUGUUGUCUUGAAGCAGUUGUAGAAAUCUGAAUCUAUCAUUUGUGAACUUUUGUUGUAAAAUGCAAGACAAAACAAACCCCUUUAUUUGGAAAGAAUUCUUUGCGUUCUUCUCCAACAAUUGGAAAACUAAAGAUACCAGCAUAUUUUCCAGGAACUUAGUUCUGCUCUACUUUCACGUUGGCUUUUCUAAAUCUUCUUAAGCCACAAACCUUCUAAGUAUCUGAAUUCUCCUUUAGAACACGAGUAUGUUUAUAUAUUAUAAAAGGAAAAAAAAAAACUCAAUGGAAUUGUCUUGUACUCAAAAUGAUGUGCAAAACUGAUGUGUCCAUUUAUCCGACUUGUUCACAUUCCACUGUAAAUAGAAGUAUCAGAGGUUGACCUGUUUAUCAUUCAGUCUCCUGAUUCUAACCACAUCGCCUUCUCCCCCUCGCCCACGCUCUGCUCCUUACCUUCAAAAAUGUGUUGAUAAUAAAAUGAUGAACAUACUAAAGGUGUGAGCUCAUUUGUGGUUCAAAAAAUAGCUCAGCAAGGUGGCCAGAGAUCACAGUGAGACAGAAACGUUUAUACUUCACUUGGCCGAUGGAUUCUGGUGUCUUGGCAAAUGUUUGUCAGUUGCAAACACGUGUUCUGGGUAAAGAAACUGAGUUUUAAAAAGGACAGGCCUGGACAAAUAAAAGAAAUGUUAUUACCAAGUUUUAAAGUGAGAUAAGGUGGGAAAAACCGGGGUUUUUUUGGUUUUGUUUUGUUUGUUUUAUCCAAUUUGCAGUGGUUACACAAGGCUUUUCCUCACUGGAAGUUCCAUAUGCCAAUGAAAUCACAGGUCCAAACCAAUAUUUUAAAAAAGGUUGGGGGAGAUUAAAGCAGGUAUUCUCAUCGGAGAAGGAAAAAAAAACAACACACCUUUAUAUUGGUCUUGACAAGUCUUCUGGCUAAUAUAAAAAGUAACUAUUUCAUUAACUCAUUCAUUGUGCAACAUUUACCCCAGAGAGCAUGACAUCAUGCAUAGAAUGGAAGAAGCAGUCAAGGU
rnacentral:lncRNA from 1 species